AGUGAACGCUGGCGGCAGGCCUAACACAUGCAAGUCGAACGGCAGCACAGUAAGAGCUUGCUCUUACGGGUGGCGAGUGGCGGACGGGUGAGGAAUACAUCGGAAUCUACUUUUUCGUGGGGGAUAACGUAGGGAAACUUACGCUAAUACCGCAUACGACCUACGGGUGAAAGCAGGGGAUCUUCGGACCUUGCGCGAUUGAAUGAGCCGAUGUCGGAUUAGCUAGUUGGCGGGGUAAAGGCCCACCAAGGCGACGAUCCGUAGCUGGUCUGAGAGGAUGAUAAGCCCCACUGGAACUGAGACACGGUCCAGACUCCUACGGGAGGCAGCAGUGGGGAAUAUUGGACAAUGGGCGCAAGCCUGAUACAGCCAUACCGCGUGGGUGAAGAAGGCCUUCGGGUUGUAAAGCCAUUUUGUUGGGAAAGAAAAGCAGCAGGUUAAUACCCCGCUGUUCUGACGGUACCCAAAGAAUAAGCACCGGCUAACUUCGUG
rnacentral:rRNA from 1 species